UACGGAGGAUGCGAGCGUUAUCCGGAUUUAUUGGGUUUAAAGGGUGCGCAGGCGGAAUGUCAAGUCAGCGGUAAAAUUUCGGGGCUCAACCCCGUCGUGCCGUUGAAACUGGAAGACUUGAGUGUGUUUGAGGUAGGCGGAAUGCGUGGUGUAGCGGUGAAAUGCAUAGAUAUCACGCAGAACUCCGAUUGCGAAGGCAGCUUACUAAGCCAUAACUGACACUGAAGCACGAAAGCGUGGGGAUCAAACAGG
rnacentral:rRNA from 1 species